rnacentral:rRNA from 1 species
AAGAGAGAGACAUGCGCGCAUAUCAAUAAGCGGAGGAAAAGAAACUAACAAGGAUUCCCUUAGUAACGGCGAGUGAAGCGGGAAGAGCUCAAAUUUGAAAUCUUCAAGGUUUUACCUUGACGAAUUGUAGUUUAAAGAAGUGUUUUCUGCUGAAGUUUUGGUAAAAGUUCUUUGGAAUAGGACAUCAUAGAGGGUGAGAAUCCCGUAUUUGACCAUUAUUUUCCAGCUUUGUGAUACACUUUCAAAGAGUCGGAUUGUUUGGGGAUGCAGUCCAAAAUGGGUGGUAAAUUUCAUCUAAAGCUAAAUACUGGCGAGAGACCGAUAGCGAACAAGUACCGUGAGGGAAAGAUGAAAAGAACUUUGAAAAGAGAGUUAAACAGUACGUGAAAUUGUCAAAAGGGAAGCGUUUGACACCAGUGUUGUUUUCUCGAAAAUCAAUUAAAAAUGGCUCGAUUUUGUAUUGCUGAGACCUUAAAAGCUCACUGUACAUUUUUCGUGUCUUUUUUAAUGCACUUUUCGUUUAACAAGUCAACAUCAGUUUCUUUUGUUGUAAAAGGGUCAUUGGAAGGUGGCUUUCUUUUCGGAGAAAGUGUUUAUAGCCUUUGGCCUCUGCAAUCGGAGAGACUGAGGUCUGCAGCGUAGACUCUUCGGGGUUAGAUACAUUUGUGCUAAGUUAUAGCUUUUUAUAGACAACUUGUUGACUAUAAUUAGUCUUGUAGCUUACUCGCUUAUGCUAUUUUACCUACGCUUAGGAUGUUGAAGAUGUAGCACAUCAU